rnacentral:rRNA from 1 species
GACGAACGCUGGCGGCGUGCCUAAUACAUGCAAGUCGAGCGGACAGAAGGGAGCUUGCUCCCGGAAGUUAGCGGCGGACGGGUGAGUAACACGUGGGCAACCUACCCUGUAGAUCGGGAUAACAUCGAGAAAUCGGUGCUAAUACCGGAUAAUCAUUUGAAGUGCAUGCUUCGAAUGUAAAAGAUGGCUCCGGCUAUCACUACGGGAUGGGCCCGCGGCGCAUUAGCUAGUUGGUAAGGUAAUGGAUUACCAAGGCAACGAUGCGUAGCCGACCUGGGAGGGUGAUCGGCCACACUGGGACUGAGACACGGCCCAGACUCCUACGGGAGGCAGCAGUAGGGAAUCUUCCGCAAUGGACGAAAGUCUGACGGAGCAACGCCGCGUGAGUGAUGAAGGUUUUCGGAUCGUAAAGCUCUGUUGUUAGGGAAGAACAAGUGCCGUUUGAAUAAGGCGGCACCUUGACGGUACCUAACCAGAAAGCUACGGCUAACUACGUGCCAGCCGCCGCAGUAACAC